CGGAGGCAGCAGUGAGGAAUAUUGCACAAUGGGGGAAACCCUGAUGCAGCAACGCCGCGUGAGUGACGAAGGCCUUCGGGUUGUAAAACUCUGUCUUAGCUGACGAUAAUGACGGUAAGCUAGGAGGAAGCCACGGCUAACUACGUGCCAGCAGCCGCGGUAAUACGUAGGUGGCGAGCGUUGUCCGGAAUUACUGGGCGUAAAGGGAGCGUAGGCGGUCAAUUAAGUGGGAUGUGAAAACCCCGGGCUCAACCUGGGACCUGCAUUCCAAACUGGUUGACUAGAGUGCAGGAGAGGAAAGUGGAAUUCCAAGUGUAGCGGUGAAAUGCGUAGAGAUUUGGAGGAACACCAGUGGCGAAGGCGACUUUCUGGACUGUAACUGACGCUGAGGCUCGAGAGCGUGGGGAGCAAACAGGCUUAGAUACCCCGGUAGG
rnacentral:rRNA from 1 species